rnacentral:rRNA from 1 species
UACGUAGGGUGCAAGCGUUGUCCGGAAUUAUUGGGCGUAAAGAGCUCGUAGGCGGUCUGUCACGUCGGCUGUGAAAACGCGAGGCUCAACCUCGCGCCUGCAGUGGGUACGGGCAGACUAGAGUGUGGUAGGGGAGAUUGGAAUUCCUGGUGUAGCGGUGGAAUGCGCAGAUAUCAGGAGGAACACCGAUGGCGAAGGCAGAUCUCUGGGCCAUUACUGACGCUGAGGAGCGAAAGCAUGGGGAGCGAACAGG